rnacentral:lncRNA from 1 species
GGUGUAACUUCUAUUGUUGGAGGUAUUCUACAUAUGAUGUACUUUAUGAUGCCAUUAUUAAGAAUAACAUUUAAUCUAAAUUUUAUAUUACCAAUAUGAUCGUGAAAUAGAGAUAAAUGGUAACCUCUAUAAUGUGAAGUAUGAUGAAGGAAGGUCUAUUGAAUUUUUCACUAUUGUCGAUGCCAGAUAAAUAUUAAAUGGAGAUUUGGACGGUUAUGGCUCUUGUUUGCCAUAUAAUUUUAGGCGUUCAAUAUCUUGGCUCUAGCUUCUUUCAUCCAUGUUUCCUUUUCUGUUAACCUGAGUUUUACCUGAGCAUUUUUCUAUUAUUACUUAUUUUGCAAUAGCCUCAAGCAUUUGAAUUGGCACAUUUACUGGUUUCUCCUCCGCAUGUUCUUUCCCUCUCUGUUUUUCUGUUCUUUUUUUAUAUUUAUUUGAGGUCUUCUGAGUUAGAUUCCAUUACUGAAUCUCUGUUUGUUUGAUGAUUGAGCUACUAAGAGUAGUUCUGUUCCAGUUCCAUAUUGGCACUGAUGUGCUAGCAGACACCAUUUUUGCUUUAUUUUAACUUUCUUAUUUGUAUAUUUCCUAUGCGCUAAUUUCAUUCGAGAAAGAAAGAUUUGAUCGUGUCGGUAUUCAUUCUCCAUUGCGUGCAGGUUGGACAUAUAAAGAGCAACGAAUCUCCACAUUGAUGUGCCAUCAUCUGUUUAUCUAAAAGCACUACGUUGUACUUCUUCUCUUUUUUUUUUUGAAGCACCUAAUUGAGAAUACUAAAACUGACAUCUCAGAAGAUAGGUACAUUCCAAGGAAUGUAAGUGAGAAGGUUAUCAAAAAGGAAUGCGAGUGAGAAAACAUCAUUUAAUUUCUCUGAAGAUGAUGUUCAACUGAGAAGGUUAUCAAAAAGGAAUGCGAGUGAGAAAACAUCAUUUAAUUUCUCUGAAGAUGAUGUUCACCACAUUACUCAAUUUGAUUCCUUGCACAAACUUAACGUGACGUUAAAAUCAACAUGCUUCUUGCUUAGCAUCUGAUUAUCACAGAGAUAUCACUUAUGUUUGGGGCUGAAUUCUCUUUCUAGAAUAUCUCUUACUUUUAGUGAUUGGUGACUGUGCUAACUUCUUUUUGCUUAAUCUUUCUCCCUUCUCCGGGUAAUGGACUUAACUUGAUUGAUAAAGUUGCUCAUUGUUCUUAUUGUUUGCCCUUUUUAUUAGUUUAUACUUCUGUAGGAGACCUCUUGAUUACUUAACAUCCUUAGGGAAUCAUAGAUUUACUAAAGUUGUAAACAUUCUUCAAUCUGCCCAACCAGUUCAAGGUUGUUAAGAUUCUUAAAAUGAAACAACAAUAAUUGAAAUAGUAUUAAGACACAACUGAAUUAUUCUAUUUGUCUGGUUUUAUAAUAUUGUUGAGUUCUUGAUGCUUAUAUGUCUGCAUUAGACUAAUUUGUUUCAUUUGUGUCGCAGUUACUUAUAUAUACUCUUGAUUUGUGAUACAGGAAUUGCUGCCUAGGAAGAUUACUUUGUGGAAGUUAAAGGAUAUAAAUUGCUUAAUAUAGGUGAAAAGUAUAGCUUGAGUCAAAGUCGGGGAUGCGGAUUAUUUGUAUUCUCUCUAAAGAAAUACUUCAAGCUAGAGGUGUAUUCACUUAGAGCUAAUUCGAUACUUGUAUCUUUCAGUGUUUAUUGAUUGGUUUGAAGAUGUAGUUCCUCCUGAAAUAUUGUGCCUGAGCAAAUGUGUGGCAAAUGUCAUUUUGCAUGGCUAUCCUCGGGGUGCAAUUUGAAGAAGGAAGCAACUAUCAUUGUGCUUGUGAAAUACCGAUAAACUUAUUUCACUUAUGUAUUUGUGAAAUCAUAGCUAUUGUAUUAGGUAUUUAUUGUUAUAUAUGUUGUCUAUCGCCAUUUGGCAGUUGUUUACGUGCAUAUAUUUUUGUUAUCUGCCAUUCUUAUCAAAAC